GACGAACGCUGGCGGCGUGCUUAACACAUGCAAGUCGAACGAAGUGGCGCACGGGUGAGUAACGCGUAAUCAACCUGCCCUUCAGAGGGGGACAACAGUUGGAAACGACUGCUAAUACCGCAUACUGAAGGAGGGGAUUGCGUCUGAUUAGCUAGUAGGAGGGGUAACGGCCCACCAAGGCGAUGAUCAGUAGCCGGUCUGAGAGGUUUAACGGCCACAUUGGGACUGGAACACGGCCCAGACUCCUACGGGAGGCAGCAGUGAAGAAUAUUGGACAAUGGGCGAAAGCCGGAUCAAACCAUGCCGCGUGUGUGAAGAAGGUCUUCGGAUUGUAAAGCACUUUAAGUUGGGAGGCGUUACUAACAGAAUAAGCACCGGCUAACUUCGUGCCAGCAGCCGCGGUAAUAC
rnacentral:rRNA from 1 species